rnacentral:rRNA from 1 species
CUACGGGGGGCAGCAGUGGGGAAUAUUGGACAAUGGGCGAAAGCCUGAUCCAGCCAUGCCGCGUGUGUGAAGAAGGCCUUCGGGUUGUAAAGCACUUUCAGUGGGGAAGAAAGCCUUGGGGCUAAUACCCUCGAGGAAGGACAUCACCCACAGAAGAAGCACCGGCUAACUCCGUGCCAGCAGCCGCGGUAAUACGGAGGGUGCGAGCGUUAAUCGGAAUUACUGGGCGUAAAGCGCGCGUAGGCGGUCUGAUAAGCCGGUUGUGAAAGCCCCGGGCUCAACCUGGGAACGGCAUCCGGAACUGUCAGGCUAGAGUGCAGGAGAGGAAGGUAGAAUUCCCGGUGUAGCGGUGAAAUGCGUAGAGAUCGGGAGGAAUACCAGUGGCGAAGGCGGCCUUCUGGACUGACACUGACGCUGAGGUGCGAAAGCGUGGGUAGCAAACAGGAUUAGAUACCCAGUAGUC